AAAUAAAUAUACAUUAUAUAAUGUGAAUACAUUUAUUUUGUAUAUAAAAGUGAAGUAAGAAUUAAGUUAUGUAACCUAAUAUAUAUAUUAGGUGUGAUAAUUAAAUAACCUAAAUGGUUAUCGUUAUUUAGUGGUCCUAAUAUUUUAUUUUUAUAUUAGUGACCUAAUUUAAGAGAAUUGUGGAACAUGUCACAAUUUAUUAAAUUGUUUUAUUCGAAUAGGUGAGUAAAGGAAUAUGAAGAUUAUGUGAUGGUUUAUAUUUGUUUAUUAUAUAAACAAAUAAAAUAAACUAGUGUAAUCCUAAUUAUAUAUUAGGAAUGAAGAAUUGAAUAACAUAAGAGUUAUUAGAUGAGAGAAUUAUGAUAUUUAGAAUAUAUACUAAUUAUGAGAGAUUUAUUUUAUACAUCUCAGUUAAUUAAUUUUAUAGCCUAAUUAUAGCAAGUCUAAUUAGGUUAAGAUAUUAAAUGUACUUAAGUAAGAAUUUUUAUUUCACUUGAGUGCAUGUAAACCCUAAUAUAAUGAUAAGGGUAGAAUGGAAUAGAAUUAAAAGUAAUGGACUAUAAUAAUAUUAUAGCCCAAUAAUUUAUUUAGAGUCCAAGAGAAGUGGAUUUAAUGGACUAAGGAUGUUAUAUUAUUUAAACAAGCCCAAUUAAGGAGGGACAUAUUGGACAUUUGGUAUACUAAAUAAGAAUUAAAAAAAAAAUCAAUUAUUGAUAUGGAAAUGUCCAUUUUACCCUUUUGUCCCAUUUUGGUGAAUUAUGGCUAGAGAAUCCUAUGUAAUCUUGCAAAAUCUAGCAAAUUAUUGAAGGGGGAAUAAUUAUAACCUAGCAUGUGACUUAUAGCUCAAUUAUCAAUCAUCUAGAAUUUACUAGAUUCCUUGAAUUAUAACUUAUAUAGAUUAAAAGUGAGAAAAGCCUCACUUUAAUUAUCAAACUUGUCCAAGACUUAGAGAGGGAGAAAGAGAGAAAGAGAGAAGGGAGGAAUGGCAUUAUGAGAGAGUGAGAAGAGAUACCAUUCGGCAGCUCCAAGAGGAGAAGGAGAAGAAAAGACUUUGAUCUUCAUACACCUCAAGAUCCAUCUCAUAUCUUUGAAGAAGAAAGAAAAUCAAGCAAAGGUAUAAACCCUUUUUGUUUAUGUAAUUUUUGAUGGUUGUAAAUCAAACCUUGAAUCCAUAGUUCUACACUCAAAAACCUUAGAUAUAUGUGUUUAGUAGUUAACCUAAGUGGUAGAACUCAAAAAUCACGUUUCUAAAAGUCGUGGUGUUGAUUUAUGUGAAAACAGUCCCGUUUCUAGGAACUGUUUUGGAUCAGUCCGUAGCAGGGGCAUUUUCGUCCCCUUUUUGUGCUUUAUAAAUUCUGGAAAAAUUUGGGGUGUUAAUAUCAGUAGAUAUGCAGGUUGUGUAAAAAUUUGAGAAUUUUUUGCCAUACGGUUUGAGAAAUAUGGAUUUUACGGUGAAGGACCCCAAAACUGUUUUUUGGCCAAAACGCUGCUGACCUAAAAAGGAAAUUUCGGGGUUAGCUAGCCUGCUCUAAAAAUUCUGGGCUUUUGGUAUGUUAUAGUACACUCAAUAAGCUUUCCAUAGACUCCAAAACGGACUAAAUCCGACAUCGGAGGAGAGAGUUAUGAAAUUUCUCCCAAACUACUCAGAGG
rnacentral:lncRNA from 1 species